UACAGAGGUCUCAAGCGUUGUUCGGAUUCAUUGGGCGUAAAGGGUGCGUAGGUGGCGCGCUAAGUCAGGUGUGAAAUUUCGGAGCUUAACUCCGAAACUGCAUUUGAUACUGGCGUGCUUGAGGACUGGAGAGGAGACUGGAAUUCAUGGUGUAGCAGUGAAAUGCGUAGAUAUCUGGAGGAAUACCGGUGGCGAAGGCGGCAUCCUGGACCAUUACUGACGCUGAGGCGCGAAAGCUAGGGGAGCAAACGGG
rnacentral:rRNA from 1 species